rnacentral:snoRNA from 1 species
CAAUGAUGAUUCCAGAUGACGAGUCCAAGUCGUAAGACGAUGCCGACACCAUCUUUUUAUACCAUUCAUGCAUUACCUGAAU